ACUGGUGUGUUCCAAACAGAUCAAGAGACUAGCCAUUACGAGCCAAAUUGCGCUUCAAUAAAUAUUACAACACUUGAUCAAGUGACAUGCCAAAAGCUAAGAUGUUGCUGUAUACAACAAGAAGUUAAGAACUACAUUUUCAUCAUGAUAAAUAACAGCUGCCAAUCAUUGACUUAUCCUUCGCUAAAGCUACUACAGCUGCUCACAAGUAUUUAUGUUUCGACAUUGGUAUUUCCUAAUCAAAUCCAAUUGUACAUUCUUUUUUUAUCCCUAACUGAAUCUUGUAAUCACUUACAUUACAGAUUCUACAAAAUCUACACGGUUUGUUUCAUGCUUGAAAAGGAUACACUGACGUAUACUAUUGGAACUAUUUACACUACUAAUACAACACUACAUCACAAAUAG